CCUUUGUGCCCAGGCACCACAAGAACUGACUUUUCCAGUGGAGAGUUACAGGAAAAGAAGAUGUGAUGGAUUUCUAUGACACAAGAAACUCCUCUCAGAUUUGCCCCUUUCCCUACUAUUGAUUAAUCACCCACAGUAAACUCUUCAGAGUAAACUCUGCAUGUAUCUUCCUGUCUUCCAGUAGACUCCAUCAGUUAGAAAGUAAGCUUUA
rnacentral:lncRNA from 1 species